GAUGAAGAACGUAGCGAAAUGCGAUAAGUAAUGUGAAUUGCAGAAUUCAGUGAAUCAUCGAAUCUUUGAACGCACCUUGCGCCCUUUGGUCAUUCCGAAGGGCAUGCCUGUUUGAGUAUCAUGAACACCUCAACUCUUUAUGGUUUUCCAUGAUGAGCUUGGACUUUGGGGGUUUUGCUGGCCUAUGGUCGGCUCCUCUAAAAUAAAUCAGCUUACCGGUGUUUGGUGGGUAUCAUGGGUGUGAUAACUAUCUACGCUUGUGGUUUUUCCACCAGGUAACCUUCGACAGCGGAGGUUCACUGGAGCUCAUAGAUGUCUCUCCUCAGCGAGGACAGCCCUUUGAAUGUUUGAUCUCAAAUCAGGUAGGACUACCCGCUGAACUUAAGCAUAUCAAUAAGCGGAGGA
rnacentral:misc_RNA from 1 species